AUGCAAGUCGAGCGAACUGAUUAGAAGCUUGCUUCUAUGACGUUAGCGGCGGACGGGUGAGUAACACGUGGGCAACCUGCCUGUAAGACUGGGAUAACUUCGGGAAACCGAAGCUAAUACCGGAUAGGAUCUUCUCCUUCAUGGGAGAUGAUUGAAAGAUGGUUUCGGCUAUCACUUACAGAUGGGCCCGCGGUGCAUUAGCUAGUUGGUGAGGUAACGGCUCACCAAGGCAACGAUGCAUAGCCGACCUGAGAGGGUGAUCGGCCACACUGGGACUGAGACACGGCCCAGACUCCUACGGGAGGCAGCAGUAGGGAAUCUUCCGCAAUGGACGAAAGUCUGACGGAGCAACGCCGCGUGAGUGAUGAAGGCUUUCGGGUCGUAAAACUCUGUUGUUAGGGAAGAACAAGUACGAGAGUAACUGCUCGUACCUUGACGGUACCUAACCAGAAAGCCACGGCUAACUACGUGCCAGCAGCCGCGGUAAUACGUAGGUGGCAAGCGUUAUCCGGAAUUAUUGGGCGUAAAGCGCGCGCAGGCGGUUUCUUAAGUCUGAUGUGAAAGCCCACGGCUCAACCGUGGAGGGUCAUUGGAAACUGGGGAACUUGAGUGCAGAAGAGAAAAGCGGAAUUCCACGUGUAGCGGUGAAAUGCGUAGAGAUGUGGAGGAACACCAGUGGCGAAGGCGGCUUUUUGGUCUGUAACUGACGCUGAGGCGCGAAAGCGUGGGGAGCAAACAGGAUUAGAUACCUGGGUAGUCA
rnacentral:rRNA from 1 species